ensembl:lncRNA
CAAACAUGACUCGAUAAACGUCCGUUUAGAUUAAGUAAUUACAUCGAACGUUAGGUCCAAAGUUGAAGGACACUGUAUUUACAACACAAGCCGUUUACAAAAUGUUUCCUGUUAGGCUAUUAAAAUGGAUUAUAACAAACAAAAGAACACUUUAUUGUUUCGUCGUGACCUUUAGUGUUGCCAAAAGAAGAAGAUCUUCAAAGAUGUGCUACCCUGUCCCGGUCCUGCUGUUUUAACAGAUGUGCUACCCUGUCCUGGUGGUUCGAAUCUCUCAACCUAUUAAUGCUCAGCUGUGAAAAGCCAACUGACAUAUUCUCCUGAGGUGUUGAACUGUUGCAUCCUCUAUAACCACUGUGGUUAUUAUUUUGAUGUAAAAAGGGCUUUUGUAAAAUACGAUUGAUUGAUUGUUUGCUGUCCUGGAUGCUGUGUAUUCACUAACUUUCUGAAUGAUGGAAAUGUUUAUAGUAUCUGUAACAUAUUUUGGUGUGCACUUAAUCUGCAUCUUAACUUAUUCAAGUGACAAUCAGCAGUAGAAACAAUGACAAGGUGUCGCCCUGCUCCUCUUUCGGUAAAAAGCUGAGGGAUGGGCCUGGAUAAAUGUAACCACUCUCAAAUUCAUAGACAGAGAUAUAGAUGCAAGGACUGACCAUCCAUAAUAUCAACAUUGUAAUCCUGUUUCUAUGAUCUGUUUCCGCUACCAUGUACCCAGUUCACUUUGGAUAAAGGUGUCUGCUAAAUGGCAUAUUAUUAAAGUCUACUUUGACUCUGUACCUUAGCCAAAUACAUUUACACUCCGUUUUUCACAAUUCCUGACAUUUAAUCCUUGUAAAAAUGUCCUGUCUUAGGUCAGUUAGGAUCACCACUUUAUUUUAAGAAUAUGAAAUGUCAGAAUAAUAGUAGAGAGAAUCAUUUAUUUCACUUUUAUUUCUUUCAGUGAGUCAGAAUGUAUGUCUUUAUUUUAGUUGGUCAGGGCGUGAGUUGGGGUGGGCAUUCUAUGUUUUGUUCUGUUAUAUUUCUAUGUGUUUGGCCUAGUAUGGUUCUCAAUCAGAGGCAGGUGUCAGUCGUUGUCUCUGAUUGGGAGCCAUAUUUAGGCAGCCUGUUUUCUACUGUGUUUUGUGGGUGGUUGUAUCCUGUGUUAGUGUUUUCACCAUACGGGACUGUUUCGGUUGUUUGUACUUUUGUUAUUUUGUUC